rnacentral:rRNA from 1 species
AAUGAACGCUGGCGGCAUGCCUAACACAUGCAAGUCGAACGAAGUCCUUCGGGGCUUAGUGGCGCACGGGUGCGUAACGCGUGGGAAUCUGCCCCUUGGUUCGGAAUAACAGUUGGAAACGACUGCUAAUACCGGAUGAUGACGUAAGUCCAAAGAUUUAUCGCCGAGGGAUGAGCCCGCGUAGGAUUAGGUAGUUGGUGUGGUAAAGGCGCACCAAGCCGACGAUCCUUAGCUGGUCUGAGAGGAUGAUCAGCCACACUGGGACUGAGACACGGCCCAGACUCCUACGGGAAGCAGCAGUGGGGAAUAUUGGACAAUGGGCGAAAGCCUGAUCCAGCAAUGCCGCGUGAGUGAUGAAGGCCUUAGGGUUGUAAAGCUCUUUUACCCGGGAUGAUAAUGACAGUACCGGGAGAAUAAGCUCCGGCUAACUCCGUG